UACAGAGGCCCCAAGCGUUGUUCGGAUUCACUGGGCGUAAAGGGUGCGUAGGUGGCGAGGUUAGUCAGGUGUGAAAUCUCGGGGCUCAACCCCGAAACUGCACUUGAUACUGCCUUGCUAGAGUACUGGAGAGGAGAUUGGAAUUUACGGUGUAGCAGUGAAAUGCGUAGAUAUCGUAAGGAAGACCAGUGGCGAAGGCGAAUCUCUGGACAGUUACUGACACUGAGGCACGAAGGCCAGGGGAGCAAACGGG
rnacentral:rRNA from 1 species